rnacentral:rRNA from 1 species
UUUGCUUGGAGAGUUUGAUCCUGGCUCAGAACGAACGCUGUCGGCAUGCCUAACACAUGCAAGUCGUACGAGAAAGCACCUUCGGGUGUGAGUAGAGUGGCGCACGGGUGAGUAACGCGUAGGUGAUCUACCAUUUGGCGGGGGAUAACCAGGAGAAAUUCUGGCUAAUACCGCAUACGUACUGCAAUUUUGAAAGUAGCAGUAGAAAGAAUGCCUCUCCUUGGAAGCAUUUACCAAAUGAUGAGCCUGCGUAGCAUUAGUUUGAUGGUGGGGUAAUGGCCUACCAUGACUACGAUGCUUAGCUGGUCUGAGAGGAUGAUCAGUCACACUGGAACUGAGACACGGUCCAGACUCCUACGGGAGGCAGCAGUGGGGAAUAUUGCGCAAUGGGGGAAACCCUGACGCAGCAAUGCCGAGUGAGUGAGGAAGGCCUUCGGGUUGUAAAGCUCUGUCAGAAGGGAAUAAUGGUGUAGGGUCCAAUAGGCCUUACAUUUGAAGGUACCUUCAAAGGAAGCACCGGCUAACUUCGUGCCAGCAGCCGCGGUAAUACGAAGGGUGCAAGCGUUGUUCGGAUUUAUUGGGCGUAAAGCGCGCGCAGGCGGAUUGUUAAGUCAGAUGUGAAAUCUCGGGGCUCAACCUCGAAACUGCGUCUGAAACUGAUAAUCUAGAAUCUCGGAGGGGGAAGGGGAAUUUCGCAUGUAGGGGUAAAAUCCGUAGAGAUGCGAAGGAACACCAGAGGCGAAGGCGCCUUCCUGGACGAGUAUUGACGCUGAGGCGCGAAAGCGUGGGUAGCAAACAGGAUUAGAUACCCUGGUAGUCCACGCCGUAAACGAUGUGCACUAGAUAUUGGAGGUUUGACCCCUUCAGUGUCGUAGCUAACGCAUUAAGUGCACCGCCUGGGGAGUACGGUCGCAAGACUAAAACUCAAAGGAAUUGACGGGGGCCCGCACAAGCGGUGGAUUAUGUGGUUUAAUUCGAAGCAACGCGCAGAACCUUACCUAGGCUUGAAAUCCUGAGAAUCUAAUGGAAACAUUGGAGUGCUCUUCGGAGAAUUCAGUGACAGGCGCUGCAUGGCUGUCGUCAGCUCGUGUCGUGAGAUGUUGGGUUAAGUCUCGCAACGAGCGCAACCCCUAUCCUUAGUUGCCAGCAUUAAGUUGGGCACUCUAGGGAGACUGCCCGGGCUAACCGGGAGGAAGGUGGGGAUGACGUCAAGUCCUCAUGGCCCUUAUGUCUAGGGCUACACACGUAAUACAAUGGUACAUACAAAGGGAAGCGACCUGGCAACAGUGAGCAAAUCUCAAAAAGUGUAUCUCAGUCCGGAUUGGAGUCUGCAACUCGACUCCAUGAAGUUGGAAUCGCUAGUAAUCGGAGAUCAGCACGCUCCGGUGAAUACGUUCCCGGGCCUUGUACACACCGCCCGUCACACCACGGGAGUUGGUCUUACCUGAAGUCGUGGCCCUAACUGCUUGCAGAGGGGAGCGCCUACGGUCGGACCGAUGACUGGGGUGAAGUCGUAACAAGGUAGCCGUAGGGGAACCUGCGGCUGGAUCACCUCCUUU